rnacentral:lncRNA from 1 species
CCUGCCUCAGCUUCCGGAGCAGCUGGGACUGCUGGCGCCCGCCACUACGCUCGGCUAAUUUUUUUGUGUUUUUAGUAGAGACGGGCUUUCACCGUGUUGGCCUAGCGGUUCUCCAACUCCUGACCUCAUGAUCCCCCCGCCUCAGCCUCCCAAAGUGCUGGGAUUACAAGCGUGAGCCACCGCGACCCGCCAACACUCUUGACAACAGUGCUGUGCUAAGAACUUGGGGGACUUCAAAAAGUUCACCAGUUCCUGUGUCCAUGGGUGAAAAGAUUUUCUACAUCUUUCCUUGACUAGAAACAGAAGUCCUGAAACAAGGUACACCUUCUUGAGGCUUACUUGAAUAUAACGUCAGGAGGCCAGAGGCUUUGUCCUGCCUAAUGUGUUAUUUCCACACUGAAUAAAAGCACCUGAGUCCUGGUCUCAGAGUGAGAACAAUGUCUUCUAUGAUGAGUGGCAAACACAACAAGGCAUUUUAAAAAGGUUGUACAUCUAGCAAUACCUAACAAAAUAGGAAAUCAACUUG